CGUUGCGUAACGCUAACCGGGAGCCGCCGCUAGUGGACAAGCCGCACUGCAGGCACCUUGCCAGUCAGUCCCAGGCUGCGCAGGAUCAGUGACUUAUCUAGAAGGGUAGAAGGGACAGCAAAUAUCUGCCUUGAAAAAAAUGAAGAGAACAGGAAAAAAUAAUAUGGAUAAACUGCAUCAUCCCAGAAGACAAUAGUCAACACUACUGCUACAGUUCUCUGGCGCAAGAGGGCAAUUUAAUCACAAGUUGGUCUCCACAGAGCCCUGAUGGCUGAGGAUGCC